GACGAACGCUGGCGGCGUGCUUAACACAUGCAAGUCGAACGAAGAGCGAUGGAAGCUUGCUUCUAUCAAUCUUAGUGGCGAACGGGUGAGUAACGCGUAAUCAACCUGCCCUUCAGAGGGGGACAACAGUUGGAAACGACUGCUAAUACCGCAUACGAUCUAACCUCGGCAUCGAGGAUAGAUGAAAGGUGGCCUCUAUUUAUAAGCUAUCACUGAGGGAGGGGAUUGCGUCUGAUUAGCUAGUUGGAGGGGUAACGGCCCACCAAGGCGAUGAUCAGUAGCCGGUCUGAGAGGAUGAACGGCCACAUUGGGACUGAGACACGGCCCAGACUCCUACGGGAGGCAGCAGUGGGGAAUCUUCCGCAAUGGACGAAAGUCUGACGGAGCAACGCCGCGUGAGUGAUGACGGCCUUCGGGUUGUAAAGCUCUGUUAAUCGGGACGAAAGGCCUUCUUGCGAAUAGUUAGAAGGAUUGACG
rnacentral:rRNA from 1 species